UGCAUUAUUAGGAAGUACUGUAGAUGG
rnacentral:piRNA from 1 species